rnacentral:rRNA from 1 species
AAUAGGCCCAGGCGACUGUUUAGCAAAAACACAGGUCUCUGCGAAGCCGUAAGGCGAAGUAUAGGGGCUGACGCCUGCCCGGUGCUGGAAGGUUAAGAGGAGCGCUUAGCGUAAGCGAAGGUGCGAAUUGAAGCCCCAGUAAACGGCGGCCGUAACUAUAACGGUCCUAAGGUAGCGAAAUUCCUUGUCGGGUAAGUUCCGACCCGCACGAAAGGCGCAACGAUCUGGGCACUGUCUCAACGAGAGACUCGGUGAAAUUAUAGUACCUGUGAAGAUGCAGGUUACCCGCGACAGGACGGAAAGACCCCGUGGAGCUUUACUGCAGCCUGAUAUUGAAUGUUGGUACAGCUUGUACAGGAUAGGUAGGAGCCUUGGAAACCGGAGCGCCAGCUUUGGUGGAGGCAUCGGUGGGAUACUACCCUGGCUGUAUUGACCUUCUAACCCGCCGCCCUUAUCGGGCGGGGAGACAGUGUCAGGUGGGCAGUUUGACUGGGGCGGUCGCCUCCU